GUGCUUGCUUUGGCAGCACAUAUACUAAAAUUGGAACGAUACAGAGAGAAGAUUAGCAUGGCCCCGGCACAAGGAUGACAUACAAAUUCGUGAAGCAUUUCAUAUUUUU
rnacentral:snRNA from 1 species